rnacentral:rRNA from 1 species
GUGCCAGCCGCCGCGGUAAGACGGAGGGUGCUAGCGUUGUUCGGAAUCACUGGGCGUAAAGGGCGCGUAGGCGGCUUUGGCAGUCGGCUUGUGAAAGCCCGGGGCUCAACCCCGGAGGUGCGGCCGAUACACCAAGGCUGGAGGCCGGAAGAGGAGGGUGGAAUACCCAGUGUAGAGGUGAAAUUCGUAGAUAUUGGGUGGAACACCGGUGGCGAAAGCGGCUCUCUGGUCCGGUCCUGACGCUGAGGCGCGAAAGCGUGGGGAGCAAACAGGAUUAGAUACCCCCGUAGUCC